AGUUGGAUCAGCUGCUCCGGGAUGAGCAUGAUGCAACAGCUGUUUCUACUCCCUAUACAGCUGCUGUGUUGGAAUAUCGGGUUGCAUUUUAUGAUCCUGAAAAUGCACCUUUAGAGGAUAAGAACUGGAGUAAUGCAAAUGGACAUGCUAUCCAUGAUGCUCAACAUCCAUGCAGGUCUAAUGUUGCUGUGAGAAAAGAACUUCAUACACCUGCAUCUGAUCGUUCUUGCACCCAUUUGGAGUUUGACAUAGCUAGCACUGGACUCACAUAUGAAACUGGUGAUCAUGUCGGCGUAUACUGUGAAAAUCUUGAUGAAGUUGUGGAGGAGGCACUGCAAUUGUUGAAUUUGUCACCAGAUACUUAUUUCUCUAUCCAUUCUGACAAAGAGGACGGCACUCCACUUAGUGGAAGCUCCUUGCUGCCUCCUUUCCCACCAUGCUCCUUACGAACAGCUCUCACUCGAUAUGCUGAUCUUUUGAGUUCACCCAAAAAGUCUGCUUUACUCGCUUUAGCAGCUCAUGCCACUCAUCCAACUGACGCUGAUAGACUAACGCAUCUUGCUUCCCCUGCUGGAAAGGAUGAAUAUGCACAAUGGAUAGUUGCCAAUCAGAAAAGCCUCCUUGAGGUUAUGGCUGAAUUUCAAUCAGCCAGGCCCCCACUUGGUGUCUUCUUUGCUGCAGUCGCUCCUCGCUUGCAGCCUAGAU
rnacentral:misc_RNA from 1 species